UUCCCUGUGAGCUCUGCUGGCUCCCGGGCCUGUUUCUUCCCCAGCUGUGAGGUUCAAAACUGCUGAUUCAUGCUCCUGCUCCAAGCCUAAUGACCGUGAACAUGCUCUGAUUUUUUUUCUUCAGGCACAUUUUCCUGGUAACCAGGCGGAUGAUGUGCUAAUGCAAAUUGGCAGACUUGGACUGAAACUCCAAAAAUUGGAUCUGCCACGUGGAAGAACAAAAGGACAAAAGAGACUUCAAGGCUUCCCUUUUGCUUUGGGUUUCCAUUUCUGUUGCAAUGGUAGACAUGAGUGUUUUGAAAACAUUGUCCCACCUGGAGAAAUCUGGAAACUGGUAAAAUGAAGGCCUGUCUGAGAAACAAAACACUGCUGCAAAGAAUCUGAUUUAGUAUCAUGACUUUGGUUCAUUUUUAAUAUAGAAUUUCAUGGCUCAUCAAGGGGUAAGCCAGUCUAUCAAAAGAAGUUGUCUUUUUUGUUCAUUUUAGAAAUGUCCCUGCUGUUACUGUGUGGCGUGUGCUUUUGAAAACUCAACACAGUUUAAACAGAAGAGGGCUGAGGCUUUGUUCUCUCUCCCCUCUUCCCGUCUAAGUUCAUUGUCUUUGCCCUACAAGUUCUUCUCACAGUUUUACCAAUUCCUUCCUGCCCAUAUGAACAAAUGUCAUAGCUUAGCAACAAUCAUCAUUUCAUAUUACAUUUAUAGUUCAGCUAAUAUGAUGGAAUGAUCUACAUGCCAGAAUCUCUUAAUUUCUUUUCCUUUCCUUUACACAGCUGCAGACUGGAACCAAAUGCUCAGUCAGAUAUCUUUCUUAUAUAACUAAUGGGAGGUGAGUGUUUUCCUGUUUCUGUUUUCUCUCUCACCCAUAUUUUCUGUCUCCCUCUGUAUUUAUAGAACCAGCUUUAAUUAUAAUUUACCAGUGUGCUGAGGGCACAUCAGUGAGUCUCCAGAUGGUGCAAAGCAACCUGUGAGAGUACAUUGCUUUUCACAUUUGAUCUUGGAAUAGCCAAUAUGUUCCUGGCAAGCACUGACUAAGCAGUUGACCUGUCUAUUUGCCGUUAGUUUCCAUUUACUUGCUUUCUGGUAAUGAAUACUAAUAUUCCAUGAUAUGAUGGGUCCCCUAAUGUAUCUCCCUAUUUUUCCCUUUUAGAUUUUCCUUUAUGCUUCAUCCGUGGAUCAGUAGGAGGGAAUCCUUUAAUUUAAUACAUAUAUAUUAAAUUAUACAUUUAUUUCAUUAUUUUAAACGAGCUUUUCCUUCCAGCGUAUCACAGCUUCUGAAAUGAAGGUCUUAAACUUAAUGUCAAAGAGUGCUGGAUAUUUUUUUCUAAAAGCAUUUUUGAGAAUGUGAAAAGUAUAUCUAUAAAUAAAUGAAGAGAAAAGAAAGACGAGGAAGAGAAA
rnacentral:lncRNA from 1 species